GACGAACCGUGCGAACGUUCUUCGGAUUCACUGGGCUUAAAGGGCGCGUAGACGGACGACCGCGUCGACGGCUGAAAGCCCCCGGCUCAACCGGGGAACGGGCCUCGAUACGGGUCGUCUCGAGUAGAGGAGGGGGACCUGGAACUUCCGGUGGAGCGGUGAAAUGCGUUGAGAUCGGAAGGAACGCCCGUGGCGAAAGCGAGGUCCUGGACUCUGACUGACGUUGAGGCGCGAAAGCCAGGGGAGCGAACGG
rnacentral:rRNA from 1 species